UACGGAGGGUGCAAGCGUUAUCCGGAUUCACUGGGUUUAAAGGGUGCGUAGGAGGGCAGGUAAGUCAGUGGUGAAAUCUUUGGGCUUAACCCGAAAACUGCCAUUGAUACUAUCUGUCUUGAAUCCCGUGGAGGUGAGCGGAAUAUGUCAUGUAGCGGUGAAAUGCUUAGAUAUGACAUAGAACACCAAUUGCGAAGGCAGCUCGCUACACUAUUAUUGACACUGAGGCACGAAAGCGUGGGGAUCAAACAGG
rnacentral:rRNA from 1 species